rnacentral:rRNA from 1 species
CAGCAGCCGCGGUAAUACGAAGGGGGCUAGCGUUGCUCGGAAUUACUGGGCGUAAAGGGCGCGUAGGCGGACAGUUAAGUUGGGGGUGAAAGCCCGGGGCUCAACCUCGGAAUUGCCUUCAAUACUGGCUGUCUUGAGUACGGGAGAGGUGAGUGGAACUCCGAGUGUAGAGGUGAAAUUCGUAGAUAUUCGGAAGAACACCAGUGGCGAAGGCGACUCACUGGCCCGUUACUGACGCUGAGGCGCGAAAGCGUGGGGAGCAAACAGGAUUAGAUACCCUGGUAGUCCACGCCGUAAACGAUGAGUGCUAGUUGUCGGCAUGCAUGCAUGUCGGUGACGCAGCUAACGCAUUAAGCACUCCGCCUGGGGAGUACGGUCGCAAGAUUAAAACUCAAAGAAAUUGACGG